rnacentral:rRNA from 1 species
UUAUCGAGUUUGAAACGGGUUCGUAGCUGACUCAAUUGGGGUAUGUGCACGCCUGGCUCAUUCCACUCUCAAACCCCUGUGCACUUAUUGUAGGCUUAGUGGGAUAGGCUGACUUUCACUAGUCGGUCUUGAAAGCUUCGCCUAUGUUUUAAUACAAACGCUUCAGUUUAGAAUGUAAUCAUUGCUAACAAGCAAAUUAAAUACAACUUUCAGCAAACGGAUCUCUUGGCUCUCGCAUCGAUGAAGAACGGCAGCGAAAUGCGAUAAGUAAUGUGAAUUGCAGAAUUCAGUGAAUCAUCGAAUCUUUGAACGCACCUUGCGCUCUUUGGUAUUCCGAAGAGCAUGCCUGUUUGAGUGUCAUGGUAUCAUCAACCUUCAACACUUUAUGUGAUUGAAGGCUUGGAUUUGGAGGUUGUGUCGGUGCAUUUGUAUCGGCUCCUCUGAAAUGUAUUAGCGUGAAUCUUACGGAUCGCCUUCGGUGUGAUAAUUACUGCAGCCGUGGACGUGAAGUAUAACAGUGUUCGUGCUUACAAUCGUACUUUAACAGAGACAAACACUUGACAAUCUGACCUCAAAUCAGGUAGGAUUACCCGACUGGAACCUUAAAGCAUAUCA